rnacentral:rRNA from 1 species
UGGGGAAUAUUGCACAAUGGGGGAAACCCUGAUGCAGCGACGCCGCGUGAGUGAAGAAGUAUUUCGGUACGUAAAGCUCUAUCAGCAGGGAAGAAAAUGACGGUACCUGACUAAGAAGCCCCGGCUAACUACGUGCCAGCAGCCGCGGUAAUACGUAGGGGGCAAGCGUUAUCCGGAUUUACUGGGUGUAAAGGGAGCGUAGACGGCAGCGCAAGUCUGGAGUGAAAUGCCGGGGCUCAACCCCGGAACUGCUUUGGAAACUGUGCAGCUUGAGUGCGGGAGAGGUAAGUGGAAUUCCUAGUG